rnacentral:lncRNA from 1 species
AAAGAUUUAAGUUGUUCAUCCGAUUCAAGUAUUGCGAGUGUACGCUUAUGAGGGUCAUAGGUUGUUGUAUCUUGGAGGGUAGGACGCCAUUCAACCUUGCUACACCGAGACAUUGUCUCCAAGGGGCUAAAUCUACUCUUACGGAUAGUGAAUGACACGCAUCAACCUAAAACUAUUAUUCUACACGUAACAUUGGAUCUGUUCGAUCUAAUUACAAUCUUGUUGGCCAAGUAAGGUUUUUUCUUUGUAGAUCCUUUUUUAAUCUGCAGUAUGGACAAAGAUUUUAAUCGAUAGAAUUAUAAUUUAUAGUUUGAAUUUGAACCAUGAAAUAUGUAUUUUUUUUUUUUAAUGUGUGUUGUUUCCUAGCUUGAAAAUUGUGUAUUUCAAUUCAAUGUAGUUACUGGUUAUUCGUGUUUAUUUAUAUAUGUUUUGGGUGAGAUUUAUCAUUAGUUCUUAGCAUAACUUGUUCUCUUAAAUUCUAUUUUGAUAUGCAACUUGUAUUGAUUUGAUUAUCAAGCCCAAGUUGAGUAGGUCGUGUCUACAGGGCGGAACUGCGAAAGGGCUAAAUUGGGUUUGAACUAGGGUUAAUUGGUCCACCCCUUUAACGUGUGUUUUUUUUUAAAUAAAAAAGAAAAAGAAAAAAAGAAGAAGAGAUGCCACCACAUUAACAUGUUUUUCUUUUGAG